GACGAACGCUGGCGGCGUGCUUAACACAUGCAAGUCGAACGGAAAGGCCCUGCUUUUGUGGGGUGCUCGAGUGGCGAACGGGUGAGUAACACGUGAAUAACCUGCCCUUGACUUUGGGAUAACUUCAGGAAACUGGGGCUAAUACCGGAUAGGAGCUCCUGCUGCAUGGUGUGGGUUGGAAAGUUUCGGCGGUUGGGGAUGGACUCGCGGCUUAUCAGCUUGUUGGUGGGGUAGUGGCUCACCAAGGCUUUGACGGGUAGCCGGCCUGAGAGGGUGACCGGCCACAUUGGGAGUGAGAUACGGCCAAGACGCAUAAGGGAGGCAGGAGUGGGGAAUAUUGAAAAAGGGGCGGAAGCAUGAUGCAGCAACGCCGCGUGCGGGAUGACGGCCUUCGGGUUGUAAACCGCUUUCGACUGUGACGAAGCGUGAGUGACGGUAAUGGGUAAAGAAGCACCGGCUAACUACGU
rnacentral:rRNA from 1 species